rnacentral:tRNA from 1 species
GCCCGGGUGGUGAAAUUGGUAGACACAAGGGAUUUAAAAUUCCUCGGCUUUUAGCUAUACGAGUUCGAGUCUCGUCCCGGGUACCA